GUCUUUUUGCUAUUUCUUGGGCCGCUCCCACGGCAUAUGGAGGUUCCCAGGCUAGGGGUCGAAUCGGAGCUGUAGCUGCCAGCCUACGCCAGAGCCACAGCAACGCAGGAUCCAAGCCGCGUCUGCAACCUACACCACAGCUCACGGCAACGCCGGAUCGUUAACCCACUGAGCAAGGGCAGGGACCGAACCCGCAACCUCAUGGUUCCUAGUCAGAUUCGUUAACCACUGCGCCACGACGGGAACUCCUCUUUCGUGUUUUAUUUCAGGGCUUCACUGGCAGCAUAUGAAAGUUCCCAGGCUAGGGGUCAAGUCAGAGCUACAGCUGCUGGCCUACACCAUAGCCACAGCCAUGCCAGAUCUGAGCUGCACCUGCAACCUACACCACAGCUCACAGCAAUGCCGGAUACUUAACUCACUGAGCGAGGCCAGGGAUUGAACCCACAUCUUCAUGGUUGCUAGUCAGGUUUGUUACUGCUGAGCCACAGCAGGAACUCCUGAACUGCUUCCUGAGGAGCUAACUGCAAGAGCCCUUUAGGGCUGCCUUUCCUGCUUGGGGGUAGUGGAUCCUGAUCCAGCUUGAAGCAAGGCAACAGGGGGUGUGUUCCAAAGAGAAGCCAGGGGUACACUGAAGGAGCCUUUCCGCCAACAGCCUCGAGCACCAAGGUAAUGGGAUGGUUGCUGUAAAUCAGAGCAGCAGAGACCAUUUCUAAUCUUUGUGUGUAUGUGUGUAGUUAUUCUUUUUUAUGCAUUUUUAUCAUGAAAUAAUGCAAAUUAAUUCAAAUGUAUACACAAGAAGGAACAUAAUAUAAUGAUGACUUUAUACCCACCACCCAGCUUUAUCAAACAUUAACUUUUGGCAGUUGUUACAGAUUGAAGGCGCCGGAUCCUUGACCUGAUGGGCAGGGCUGGGGGGGUCGAGCCUGAAUCCUUAUGGAUGCUGGUCAGGUUGUUGCUGCUGAGCCACAAGGGAACUCUAAUAACUGGAUUUAGGUCCAAAGAAGACAGCCAUGUACAAAUCAGGAGGAGAGACCACAACCCCACCACACCACCACCCUGAUCUUAGACCUCCCAGCCUCCAGAACCAAGCAAUAAAUUUCUGUCAUUUAAGCCUCCAA